AUUGAACGCUGGCGGCAUGCCUUACACAUGCAAGUCGAACGGCAGCACGGGUGCUUGCACCUGGUGGCGAGUGGCGAACGGGUGAGUAAUAUAUCGGAACGUACCUUAUCGUGGGGGAUAACGCAGCGAAAGCUGCGCUAAUACCGCAUACGCCCUGAGGGGGAAAGCGGGGGACCGUAAGGCCUCGCGCGAUUAGAGCGGCCGAUAUCUGAUUAGCUUGUUGGUGGGGUAAAAGCCCACCAAGGCGACGAUCAGUAGCUGGUCUGAGAGGACGAUCAGCCACACUGGGACUGAGACACGGCCCAGACUCCUACGGGAGGCAGCAGUGGGGAAUUUUGGACAAUGGGGGCAACCCUGAUCCAGCAAUGCCGCGUGAGUGAAGAAGGCCUUCGGGUUGUAAAGCUCUUUUGUCAGGGAAGAAACAGCAGC
rnacentral:rRNA from 1 species